AAAGUCGUAACAAGGUUUCCGUAGGUGAACCUGCGGAAGGAUCAUUAAAGAGUUUGGGAGUGUGUUCGAUUGUUCUUCUUGAAUAUAUUGAUACACUCUUUUUCUUUUAUACCCUUUUUAUAUAUCUUUGUAUCAGUUGCUUUGGUAAUUGUUAGUCUUAAUAAUUGCCAGAGGAAUUUAUUUAAACUCUGUAUGUUGUCCAAUAAUUGGUUACUUCAUGUCUGAUUUUUGAUGCUUUAAUAGUAUUUAAAACUUUCAACAAUGGAUCUCUUGGUUCUG
rnacentral:misc_RNA from 1 species